AGCGAACGCUGGCGGCAGGCCUAACACAUGCAAGUCGAACGAAGUCUUCGGACUUAGUGGCGGACGGGUGAGUAACACGUGGGAACGUGCCUUUAGGUUCGGAAUAACUCAGGGAAACUUGUGCUAAUACCGAAUGUGCCCUUCGGGGGAAAGAUUUAUCGCCUUUAGAGCGGCCCGCGUCUGAUUAGCUAGUUGGUGAGGUAAAGGCUCACCAAGGCUACGAUCAGUAGCUGGUCUGAGAGGAUGACCAGCCACAUUGGGACUGAGACACGGCCCAAACUUCUACGGGAGGCAGCAGUGGGGAAUCUUGCGCAAUGGGCGAAAGCCUGACGCAGCCAUGCCGCGUGGAUGAUGAAGGUCUCAGGAUUGUGAAAUCCUUUCACCGGUGAAGAUAAUGACUGUAGCCGGAGAAGAAGCCCCGGCUAACUUCGUGCCAGCCGCCGCCGUAAUAC
rnacentral:rRNA from 1 species